GCAGGAAGUAGACAGUUUUCUAUUGCCUUUACUGCUAAAAUGACUCCAAUGUUGAAGAAGGCUGGGAUGGUUAAUUAAACUUCCUUGUGUAUAAGGUGUUUUGACCUCCAGGUCGUCAUUAGCUAGCAAAACGUCAUGGCUCCUACUGAGAAUGAAAAGUGAAUGGGAAUGCUGCCUGAGUGUGUUGAUGAGGCAAUGCUAUCAGAAAUACUCUUCUGCUUCUUGCUACUGUAAAAAAAGAUGGUUAGAAAAAUGAAAACAAAAGAAAAAAAAGACAGCAAAUGCAAGAGGUUGAACACAAAAUAAAACCAGGCAAGAGAAAUUCAAGACAGCAGAGGAGCAGCAGAAACACAAUAA